CAGGAGACAUCAGCCUAAAGAAAACUCCAGGGAGCAUCUGCUGCCUCAGCUUCUAUUGGAGGGAUGAUAGAUAAAAUUCUUAUUAAGAACGAGAGUUGCAAGUGGAGCACUUGUGAUUCCUGCCUUCUACACACUGAGUAUUUUUACAGCAGUGUAUCUGCAGUACUCAAGGAAUCUCCUUGAGUAGAAAGACAGUGGCAGUUCACUUUAUUUAGCAGUGUUUCUCCAUGAUGUACGUGCUAAAAGAAGUGAGAUAUCUGCAAAAAAAUUAGACUAUUUUUGUGAAAAAAAAAAAAAAAAAAAAGCAACUGACCAAUAAGCUGCCUAGAAAGUCUCCAUUUAGUUGAUUUUGGAAAGCAUGAAGUGUUUGAGAGGAUUAGAGACAGCAGAAGAAGAGGAAUUCAGAAUCUGCUGGCUUCAGUGGAGGAAGGCUUUGCACCAAGCGCAGAACUGAGGGACUGUUGGAACCCUGGAUGCUGAGAUUUUUACACUCAACAGGUGACAAUGAGGAAAGAUCAGCCACAGCUUUCUACUCCAGCUGAACCUUUUGGCUCUGGUUCUUCUCCUGAGUCUGCCUGCUUUGUGCUGUGCCAGUGGAAAACUGUCCCAGAGUUACUCCGUGUGAGGCAUCACAGUACCAGGUCUGUGCUUCUCCUUGCAUGAUCUACAGCUUAGGGAGAGUCAUCAAAAAUCUCACCUUGAAACUGGGCAGCAAUUUACUGGAAGUGCCAGGAUUUGUCUCCCAGGAUGACAAAUAAAAAUUACAUCUCUUCUUCCAUUUUUUGCCUGUAGUUUACCAGAAGAAGGUGCGAAGAUUUCAGGUCAUGACAAAAUCUUCCAGGAAGACAAUGGAGUGUGAAGUUUUGGCUUUGGGAGUCUGUUUGCUGUAAUUAGAUUGGUGGGAGAGAUUUUUGCUCCUGCAGUGCUUGUUUUCUGAAGGAAACUCUGUAUAUGGCAGAUAAAAACAAAUGUUCUUAAAAUAGGGAUUCCUAUCUGGAAAAGUUAAAAAUGCAAUUCAGUCUUCAGCUAUUCAAAUGCAGGUCAAAUCAGAACAUAUUCAUAACUUUGUGGAUAGAAAAGAAUAAGUGCAGGGUCUCUAAAAUGUUAUGCUAGAAAUAAUAUUCCUGAAGAAAAGAAGAAUUGAUUUCCAUCUAAAUACACAAUACAUGCUGCACAUAUUUUUAGCAUUUGUGGGAACAUCAGGAGUACUUCCAACAAAAAAGUUAAUGUAAUUUUGUGGCUCAUUUUGGGUUUAUUUAGUUUGAGACAGACAUACUGAUCUUCAGUGAAAACUUCAGAGCUAAAAAUGGUAAAUAAUCGAAGAUGUUUUGUGGUAAAUAUUUGAAGAAUUUGAGUUCUUCAGACCUCACCUCAACUCUCAGUAUUGUCAGUAUCCUGAUAAAAAUGUGUUUUCAAUCUCCGGCAUUCCAAGUUUGUAAGUAAAUAAUUCUGUCCUUGAACCAGAGUGCAGAUUAAUUACUAGCUGGACAUAGUUCCUCUUGACCAGAGAAUAUGAAAGUUUUUAACAAAGGGAAUAUUCAUUAAUCUUGUGAGAUGUUUUUUUUGGAAGACAGAUAUGUAUUUCUGAGGGGAAAGGAACACUUACAAGGUUUAAACAAAGGGCCAAAUUUUCUGUAUACUUGUAUAUCACAUGUUUCCCAAACAAGAUGAUAUAAUAGCUGUGUGUCCUUGUAAUGUCAAGUGCAAUGUCUGGCUACUAUGAACCAGAAUAUUUAUUUUGAGAUAUUAAAGGAUUAAAUAUGUAUUAUCAGGCCAAAUCAGACAGUCCUGUUUUAACAAGACACUUGAAAAAAGCAAUUGCUAACAGUCUGAAGAAAAUGAUUUAAAAAAAGGCAAUGAAAAUAUGUAGCAAAGUAGACAGACAUACAUCAUUGAUGGGCUGUGUAAUUAAAAUCAGUGGCUUCUCUAGAAGGAAGUUUAAUCACUUAAGGAGGUGGAUGGAUAAAACCAGAUGUAUA